CUGGCUCAGGAUGAACGCUAGCGGCAGGCUUAAUACAUGCAAGUCGAACGGUAACAGGUCCUUCGGGACGCUGACGAGUGGCGCACGGGUGAGUAACGCGUACACAAUCUGCCUUCAUCAGGGGGAAAGUCACUGGAAACGGUGAAUAAUCCCGCAUACAACUCUUAGAUGGCAUCAUCAUAGAGUAAAAGCUCCGGCGGAUGAAGAUGAGUGUGCGUCUGAUUAGCUAGAUGGUGAGGUAACGGCUCACCAUGGCAACGAUCAGUAGGGGGCGUGAGAGCGUGAUCCCCCACACGGGUACUGAGACACGGACCCGACUCCUACGGGAGGCAGCAGUAAGGAAUAUUGGGCAAUGGACGAAAGUCUGACCCAGCCAUGCCGCGUGCGGGAAGAAG
rnacentral:rRNA from 1 species